GAUGAACGCUGGCGGCAUGCCUAACACAUGCAAGUCGAUCGGUAAGGCUCUUCGGAGUACCCGAGAGGCGGACGGCUGAGUAACGCGUAGGAACACACCCUGCAGUGAGGGAUAAGACACCGAAAGGUGUUCUAAUACCGCAUACGGUCUUCGGAUUAAAGCAUUUAUGCGCUGAAGGAGUGGCCUGCGUCAUAUUAGAUAGUUGGUGAGGUAAUGGCUCACCAAGUCGAUGAUGUGUAGCUGGUCUGAGAGGAUGAUCAGCCAGACUGGAACUGAGACACGGUCCAGACUCCUACGGGAGGCAGCAGUGAGGAAUAUUGCACAAUGAGCGAAAGCUUGAUGGAGCAAUGCCGCGUGCAGGAUGAAGGCCCUCGGGUUGUAAACUGCUUUUAUAAGAGAAGAUUAUGACGGUAACUUAUGAAUAAGGGACGGCUAACUACGUG
rnacentral:rRNA from 1 species